GCAGCCCUAUGCAGGCUGUGAGAGGCUUCCAGCCACUUGCUGAUUUGUGAGAAAUUCAACUGUGGCCACACAAAGUCAUUCCACUGACAUCUCAAAGAGAUCCACUGUUACAAUUACAGGUGACAUACUGGACAAAGACACUUAUGAAAAAACUGGACUGCAAGGUCAUCCAUUUCAGUAUUCUUGCAGAAAAAUCAUGAAAUUUGGGGCUGGGUCUGAUAGGAUUGUGGCGGUCCUCU
rnacentral:lncRNA from 1 species